rnacentral:rRNA from 1 species
UGGGGAAUAUUGCACAAUGGGCGAAAGCCUGAUGCAGCAACGCCGCGUGAGGGAAGACGGUUUUCGGAUUGUAAACCUCUGUUUUCGGUGACGAACAAAUGACGGUACCUGACUAAGAAGCCCCGGCUAACUACGUGCCAGCAGCCGCGGUAAUACGUAGGGGGCAAGCGUUAUCCGGAUUUACUGGGUGUAAAGGGAGCGCAGGCGGUCCUGCAAGUCUGAUGUGAAAGCCCGGGGCUCAACCCCGGGACUGCAUUGGAAACUGUGGGACUUGAGUGUCGGAGGGGCAAGUGGAAUUCCUAGUGUAGCGGUGAAAUGCGUAGAUAUUAGGAGGAACACCAGUGGCGAAGGCGGCUUGCUGGACGACAACUGACGCUGAGGCUCGAAAGCGUGGGGAGCAAACAGGAUUAGAUACCCUGGUAGU